UACGUAGGGUGCAAGCGUUGUCCGGAAUUAUUGGGCGUAAAGAGCUCGUAGGCGGUUUGUCGCGUCUGCUGUGAAAAUCCAGGGCUUAACCCUGGACCUGCAGUGGGUACGGGCAGACUAGAGUGCGGUAGGGGAGAUCGGAAUUCCUGGUGUAGCGGUGAAAUGCGCAGAUAUCAGGAGGAACACCGGUGGCGAAGGCGGAUCUCUGGGCCGUAACUGACGCUGAGGAGCGAAAGCUAGGGGAGCAAACAGG
rnacentral:rRNA from 1 species